GAGGCAUUUUCUCAGCUGAGGUUCCCUCCUUUCCGGUGAUCCUAGCUUGUGUCUAGUUGACAUAAACCAGCCGGCACAGCUUCCAUCCUGAGUACCUAUUCAGCCAGCUACCAUGGUUACCACAGUGCCUGACAGGGAGGAGGUCAGAGCCAGAGAUGAGGGAUGCUGACUCCGAGACCGAGAUUUGAACUGACAGAAGCUGAUGGGACAGGAGUGCUGGGGAGCUGGUUGGUCCCCUUGAAACAUUUGUAGGAUUAAAAAAAUAAAAGGCUCGUAACCAUG
rnacentral:lncRNA from 1 species